UUAAACUGAAGAGUUUGAUCAUGGCUCAGAUUGAACGCUGGCGGCAGGCCUAACACAUGCAAGUCGAGCGGUAACACUUCGGGUGACGAGCGGCGGACGGGUGAGUAACGCGUGGGAAUCUGCCCAUUGGUGGGGGAUAGCCCGGAGAAAUCCGGAUUAAUACCGCAUAAUACCUGAGGGUUAAAACGGGGGAUCAUUAGACCUCGUGCCGAUGGAUGAGCCCGCGUCAGAUUAGCUAGUUG
rnacentral:rRNA from 1 species